rnacentral:rRNA from 1 species
UACGUAGGGGGCAAGCGUUGUCCGGAUUUAUUGGGCGUAAAGAGCGUGUAGGCGGCCAGGUAGGUCAGCUGUGAAAACUCGAGGCUCAACCUCGAGACGUCGGUUGAAACCAUCUGGCUAGAGUCCGGAAGAGGAGAGUGGAAUUCCCGGUGUAGCGGUGAAAUGCGCAGAUAUCGGGAAGAACACCCGUGGCGAAGGCGGCUCUCUGGGACGGUACUGACGCUGAGACGCGAAAGCGUGGGGAGCGAACAGG